AAUCAGCCAACAAGUUGCUCCUUCGUCUUCUCCACUCGUUUGUCUUCUGACAUUCGGGGCCAUUAGUUCAGUUUGCUGCUUUUACAGCAAUUUGGAAUUAAUUAGAUCUAGCCCUGUAGUCUUAAUUCACUGAUGGCGCUCCACCUUCACUUUAGAUCUGCUUGCUGUUGAGAGGUUGAGGUUCAGAUCUUAGUCCCAGAUUUUAUGGUUUCACCUCUUCCCGUGCAGCAGAGGUUACACUUGUGUGUGUGUGUGUGUGUGUUGGAGUACUUUACUAGAGUCGACUGCCUUCUGAACUGGGUGCCAACUGGCGGCCUAAUUUAGUUGGCCUGGAAGGAUGACAAGAUCAUAAUUUACCUUGCUCGUUACUAUUUGGCAAGGCUGGACAGUUGAGGGUUCUGUGUUUGUGCUGAAUUUAGUAGUUCUUCACAUCUCUGUUAUGGAGAUGCCGAAUUGUGCAGGUUCCUUAGAUCUGUUAAGUUGGGUUAAGAAUCUCUUGAUUGUACCAAAUUUUGGCACACAACUGGUACUUUGUUAUAGUGUCUCGGACUGAACUGGUCAGGUUGAGUUGUGGCACACUCAAAGCGGUAAUUACUUAUUCCAGCGGAAGGAUAUUAGUAGCAGGUUCCCACAAUAGUGUUGCACCUUUGAUGUCGCUGUUUCAUAACAGAUUUAUUUUUAGUCUUUUUCGAUAAAGGGCGAUUUUAUUAUCUCAGAAUGUAGCAUCAAGGGGAUACAAAACAUUAUGAGUAACACCCGGCCUCUGCAUAACUGAGAUGCACACAACCAAAUCCAAAAGUCUGACAAAAAACAUGAAAUAUAAACCGACAUAUCGGCAACAGUAAAGUCCUAUAGACCGACACUAUGCCUAUGUCGAAGGUGGUGGUGGAUCGAUCCGGAGGUUAUGCUGCCACCCAUGUUGGAAAAAACCCUCCGUAGCCACCUGCUUCAACCGCGUACAUACCGCCUUGAACAGCGAUUGGUGCUCCGAUCGUUGUAGCAUAGACCAUGUAUGAAGCGAUUGCGUACAACGGAAAAUAACCUGCAGAGGAGAAGCAUUUUUCCAUUAAAAACCAAAUCGUUUCUACAUAGCCAGAGCGACCAAAUUAAGGCGUACGCCCCCACCCUUAUAAGCGCUUUAAACAUAUUUGGAAUACCGUCCAACCAGUGACCAAAUAUAUUGGCAACACUUGUGGGCGGAUAUAAAUUUGACGCUAUUUGGAUGAUUGACCACGUAGAACGUGCAAACUUGCAUUGGAAAAAGAGGUGUUUGAUUGUCUCGUCAUGAGUACAAAAACAACACUUCUUACUCCCUGGACAGUUGCGUCGUGUGAGGUUGUUUUUGGUCAACACAACUCCCUUACGAAGAUUUAUUUUUAGUCUAAGGUGUAACGAUCAACUCAUAAGUGAUACAAGAGGUGCUGUUCACUUUUGUCAUUGCCUUGUUUUGAUUUUUCAUCAGGUUUGUUUCGUACAAGGAACUGCCCACUUUUGUGACAUUUGAAGCUAUUCCUAAAUAAACACCUUGAUUUAUUUUAGGUAGGACUCGUUCACUUUGGCACACAUGAUAGAUAUGCUAGAUAACUUUUAUUGGUGAUUAUAAAUGCAAAAAAAGGACAGUCCGGUGCACGUAGCUCCCGCUUGCGCAGGGUCUAGGGAAGGGGAGCCUUGGCGAUUAUAAAUGUCAAACUAACACAAAUGUACUUUUACUGCAAAGUGCAUUUCUUUUGAUGAAGGAGUUUUUAUUGACUCAUAAUGCUGCAUUAGGAGAAUACAAGUAUCAUGAAUACACACCUGGCUGUGCACGACUAGGAUGCACACACACGAACAAACAUGCGGCCAUAAAGUUGUUGGUGCCGCCAUGAACCCACAUGGGGCUAUCCGGCAGCUUUGCCCCGUCUUUACUGAAGUCCACCGGGGGUGGCUCAGGAGACGACGCCGUGCAUCUAGGUAGGUGAACUAGCAAGGAGGCCACGUCUAGGUUUGAUCACCCGUCGUCCGACGUUGUAAGGACGCGCUUGCGUCAUCCAACCAUUGUCGCAUGCUUCAUGUCCACAACAUCACGCACGAAACCGAUCUUCCAUGUGCUACACUCAUGUCGAUCCACUACUGCCAUACACCUUGUGUUUGCCAGCAACAUUCCACGCUCGCCACCUCCCCAAAUCUUUAGGCCGACGCCGCCACCAUAGGGCUGGUCAGACGAGGCUGCCACCACCAUCGACCUUUCAAUAUGGCGCACGACGCAAAUGUCGCCGCUGCCCACCGCGAACGUCACGGCCAUUCCCAUCGCUGUCCAUAGCCGGUGGAUGAUGCUGACCACCUACAGCUGCAAACGACAUGAGAGCCGAUGCGAGCCGUCCUAGAGGCGCCGCCCCGGCAUCCAGGCCACAACUGCUGCCCUGCCACGCAGCCACUAGCACCGACACGCAUCACCUGAACCAGCAGGGAGGGUGCCAUCAGGCAGAACCCACACUACCUGCCGCCUCCACAACUCCGGUGCUAAAAGCCGGGGCACCCAACCAUCGCAGCCGCGCAGCCAUGGAGGACGAGCCAGAUUGGGUCAGCAGCCGCGCGACUGACGGGGCAAGCUAUAACCGGCCAAAGCAAGCCAGAUCUGACAACCACUGGAGGGACUCAUGGGCGAGCCAAAGCUGACCGUGCCAAGGCUCGUCGGAGAGAGGCUGCUCCCCAUCGGAGACGUCAUCAGGGAAGUCGUCGACCGUUGUGCCGUGCAACAAAGAGAGGGGCCGCCGGGCGUGAAGAAAGUGCCAUCGUUGGUGGAGGCGCAGGGCGGAGCGCCCUGUCGCCACUAUCCUAGGCACCUGCGCAUGCUUCGCGAAGGUUUGCCUUUGGUGGCGGCGAGACGGGAGGGAGGAAGAUGGGUUGGAGUUGGCGGCACAAGAUUCCCCGAGUCGCCGGACAUAGGCGAUGUAGGGGUCAAGUAUGAUUUAACUUGAAAGAGUACUUAGAGCAUCUCCAACACCAGCUCUAUUUUAGGGCACCAAAUAGCUGUUGCAAUAAAAUUUGAGGCACCAAAACAUGAUUUUAAGGGCGCCAAUAGCUGCCCUAAAAUAGGGCACUUCAAAUAUGCAAAUAAUUUAUUUUGAACAUACAGACAUUGCAUAGUUCACUUCAAACAUUCUAAUUUUGAGCAUUCAAACAUUGCAUAGAUUAAAUGAACAUCCAAAUUACUAGAUCACCCUAACAUUACUACGAUCGACUCCUACGGACGCCCUACAGGUUGUCCCAGCCAAGGUCGUCGGACUCGUCACUCUCGUCAUCAAACUCAACCUCGUCGUUGGACUCAAGCUGACCACGCCGGAGGGGCCAGCCUCGUCCUCCGUCUUCUCCUCCGCCUUUGCGCUGGUCCCUCUCCUAGAACCACUUGGCAUCUGCCUGCAUGAGGUGCAGAUUUUCCACAACAAUCCUCACAUUGUCGUCUCAUCGCUCUCCCGAGUGACGAUGUGGGUCUCCCUCUUCGUCGGGCGGGACUCAAUGGUCACUUGAGGUCCGAUGAACUCCGCGUCCGCCCGCGUCUCGAUCUCCAGGAAGUUUAGCUAGUGCAGUGGCUGGCCGAGCCCCCACAUGGUGGUGGUGGUGCGGUCGAUUGGAAGAAGUGAACGGCUGAUCCGAGCGUUGGGGUGGUUCGGCUGUGGUGGGAGUGGCCGGAUUCAAUGGUGUGGCGGCAGUGUGGGAGGGGAAUCUGCUGCGGGCGGCUGUGGUGGGCUGCAGGAAGUUCCAGACAGGGACAGUUGGGCUGCGCACGCUGCGGCUUUGCUUUUGCAUCAGCCGUGCGCGUGCCGCAAAUACGUAGCUGGCGGUGCCUUCUUUUUGUAUGCCCAAAAAACUUUUUGCAGAAAUUUCCAACAAGGGCAGCAGUGGGGUUUUUUGGGAUCCAAAUGCCCAGUAAAACGGUUAUGCCCUAAAACAGGGCUGCUGUUGGAGAUGCUCAUAUGUAGCAUUUGCCCUUGAUAUUUUGUAUUAUUUCCUCUGAUGUUAAUGAAAUCUUUACGGUGCAUGUUUUGUACUCCCGCCGUUCCUAAAUAUUUAUCUUUUAGAGAUUUCAAAUGGACUACCAUAUACGGAUGUAUAUAGACAUAUUUUAGAGUGUAGGUUCACUCAUUUUGCUCCGUAUGUAGUCACUUGUUGAAAUCUCUAGAAAGACAAAUAUUUCGGAACGGAGGGAGUAGUAUCCUCUUAUUUUCAUACUCCCUCCGGAAAUACUUAUUAAAGGAAUGGAUGUAUCUAGAUGUAUUUUAAUUUUAUAUACAUCCAUUUUUGUAACAAGUAAUUUCGGACGGAGGCAGUACGUCUAUUGUUGUGCUAACCACUAGCAACAGCUGUAUUGUUACAAUAAAUUAAUGAUAACAUGUUUAUAUGCUCCGUACUCCCGAUCCAUAUUACUUGUCGCUCAAACGGGUGUAUCUAGCACUGAAAUACGUCUAGGUACAUCCAUUCGAGAGACAAGUAAUAUGGAUCGGAGGGAUUAUCUCUUUUGACCAGAGGUGUGUGAGUACAUGCUUAUGUUAAGUUUUUCAAUGAACUGUCGAACUACUUUAGUUUUUUGAGCACUGUGUGACUGAAUUGUUUAUCUUAUCUUCCUUGCAGUCAUGCGUUCGGAUUUUCUAAACAGUUCUAAAGUCAGCGCCAAUAAAUGGCUUCACUUCCCUAGUGACCUUAGCUAGCCCAACCUUGAAUAAUUUAGACCUGCCAUAGUCUGACCAUUCUCACCAGUUUGGAACCGGUUUCACUUCUACUAGGAUUGUGAAGCUCGUUGAAGACGAUGGCCACGUGCUGCAGGUGCUCCGCCCACGACGAGCUGUAGAUAAGAAUGUCAUCAAAGAAAACGAGCACAAACCGUCGCAAGUAGGGGCAGAGGACGUCGUUCAUCAAGGCUUGAAAUGUCGUCGGGGCAUUCAAGAGGCCGAAGGGCAUCAACAAGAACUCGAAGUGGCCGUGAUAAGUGCGAAAGGCCGUCUUCGCGACAUCGUCCGGGUGCAUCCGCACCUGGUGGUAGCCCGAAUGGAGGUCGAGCUUGGUGAAGAAGCGAGCCCCGCGUAGCUCGUCCAGGAGUUCAUCAACGACGGGGAUAGGAAAUUUGUCCUUGGACGUCUUGGCGUUGAGAGCACGGUAGUCGAUGCAGAAACGCCACGAGUCGUCGGACUUGCAAACAAGGUGAAGGAAAUAUGCCCUAGAGGCAAUAAUAAAGUUAUUAUUUAUUUCCUUAUAUCAUGAUAAAUGUUUAUUAUUCAUGCUAGAAUUGUAUUAACCGGAAACAUAAUACAUGUGUGAAUACAUAAACAAACAGAGUGUCACUAGUAUGCCUCUACUUGACUAGCUCGUUAAUCAAAGAUGGUUAUGUUUCCUAGCCAUAGACAUGAGUUGUCAUUUGAUUAACGGGAUCACCUCAUUAGGAGAAUGACGUGAUUGACUUGACCCAUUCCGUUAGCUUAGCACCCGAUCGUUUAGUAUGUUGCUAUUGCUUUCUUCAUGACUUAUACAUGUUCCUAUGACUAUGAGAUUAUGCAACUCCCGUUUACCGGAGGAACACUUUGUGUGCUACCAAACGUCACAACGUAAAUGGGUGAUUAUAAAGGUGCUCUACAGGUGUCUCCAAAGGUACUUGUUGGGUUGGCGUAUUUCGAGAUUAGGAUUUGUCACUCCGAUUGUCGGAGAGGUAUCUCUGGGCCCACUCGGUAAUGCACAUCACUAUAAGCCUUGCAAGCAUUGUGACUAAUAAGUUAGUUGCGGGAUGAUGUGUUACGGAACGAGUAAAGAGACUUGCCGGUAACGAGAUUGAACUAGGUAUCGAGAUACCGACGAUCGAAUCUCGGGCAAGUAACAUACCGAUGACAAAGGAAACAACGUAUGUUGUUAUGCGGUCUGACCGAUAAAGAUCUUCGUAGAAUAUGUGGGAGCCAAUAUGGGCAUCCAGGUCCCGCUAUUGGUUAUUGACCGGAGAUGUGUCUCGGUCAUGUCUACAUAGUUCUCGAACCCGUAGGGUCCGCACGCUUAAAGUUACGAUGACAGUUUUAUUAUGAGUUUAUGUAUGUUGAUGUACCGAAGGAGUUCGGAGUCCCGGAUGAGAUCGGGGACAUGACGAGGAGUCUCGAAAUGGUCGAGACGUAAAGAUCGAUAUAUUGGACGACUAUAUUCGGACUUCGGAAAGGUUCCGAGUGAUUCGGGUAUUUUUCGGAGUACCGGAGAGUUACGGGAAUACGUAUUGGGCCUUAUUGGGCCAUACGGGAAAGAAGGAAAAUGGCCUCAAGGGUGGCCGCACCCCUCCCCUUGGUCUGGUCCGAAUUGGGCUAGGGAAGGGGGGCGCCCCCUUCCUUCCUUCUCUUUUUCCCUUCCUCUUUUCCUAUUCCAUAUGGGAGGUGGAAUCCUACUAGGACUAGGGAGUCCUAGUAGGACUCCACACUUGGUGCGCCCCCUCCUAGGGCCGGCCUCCUCCUCCCUUGCUCCUUUAUAUACGGGGGCAGGGGGCACCCCAUAGACACAACAAUUGAUCCUUGAGAUCUCUUAGCCGUGUGCGGUGCCCCCCUCCACCAUAUUACACCUCGAUAAUACCGUUGCGGAGCUUAGGCGAAGCCCUGCGUCGGUGGAACAUCGUCAUCGUCACCACGCCGUCGUGCUGACGAAACUCUCCCUCAACACUCGGCUGGAUCGGAGUUCGAGGGACGUCAUCGAGCUGAACGUGUGUAGAACUCGGAGGUGCCGUGCGUUCGGUACUUGAUCGGUCGGAUCGUGAAGACGUACGACUACAUCAACCGCGUUGUGAUAACGCUUCCGCUUUCGGUCUACGAGGGUACGUGGACAACCCUCUCCCCUCUCGUUGCUAUGCAUCACCAUGAUCUUGCGUGUGCGUAGGAAAUUUUUUGAAAUUACUACGUUCCCCAACAGUGGCAUCCGAGCCUGGUUUUAUGCGUUGAUGCUAUGCACGAGUAGAACACAAGUGAGUUGUGGGCGAUAUAAGUCAUACUGCUUACCAGCAUGUCAUACUUUGGUUCAGCGGUAUUGUGAGAUGAAGCGGCCCGGACCGACAUUACGCGUACGCUUACGCGAGACUGGUUUCACCGUUCGGAGCACUCGUUGCUUAAAGGUGACUGGCGGGUGUCUGUCUCUCUCACUUUAGUUGAACCGAGUGUGGCUACGCCCGGUCCUUGCGAAGGUUAAAACAGCACCAACUUGACAAACUAUCGUUGUGGUUUUGAUGCGUAGGUAAGAACGGUUCUUGCUAAGCCCGUAGCAGCCACGUAAAACUUGCAACAACAAAGUAGAGGACGUCUAACUUGUUUUUGCAGGGCAUGUUGUGAUGUGAUAUGGUCAAGACAUGAUGUGAUAUAAUGUGUUGUAUGAGAUGAUCAUGUUUUGUAACCGAGUUAUCGGCAACUGGCAGGAGCCAUAUGGUUGUCGCUUUAUUGUAUGAGAUGCAAUCGCCAUGUAAUAGUUUUACUUUAUCACUAAGCGGUAGCGAUAGUCGUAAAAGCAAUAAGUUGGCGAGACGACAACGAUGCUACGAUGGAGAUCAAGGUGUCGCGCCGGUGACGAUGGUGAUCAUGACGAUGCUUCGGAGAUGGAGAUCACAAGCACGGUGCUUCGGAGAUGGAGAUCACAAGCACAAGAUGAUGAUGGCCAUAUCAUAUCACUUAUAUUGAUUGCAUGUGAUGUUAAUCCUUUAUGCAUCUUAUCUUGCUUUGAUUGACGGUAGCAUUAUAAGAUGAUCUCUCACUAAAAUUUCAAGAUAAAAGUGUUCUCCCUGAGUAUGCACCGUUGUAAAAGUUCUUCGUGCUGAGACACCACGUGUUAAUCGGGUGUGAUAGGCUCUACGUUCAAAUACAACGGGUGCAAAACAGUUGCACACGCGAAAUACUCAGGUUAAACUUGACGAGCCUAGCAUAUACAGAUAUGGCCUCGGAACACAGAGACCGAAAGGUCGAGCGUGAAUCAUAUAGUAGAUAUGAUCAACAUAGUGAUGUUCACCAUUGAAACUACUCCAUCUCACGUGUUAAUCGGACAUGGUUUAGUUGCUUUGGAUCACGUAAUCACUUAGAUGAUUAGAGGGAUGUCUAUCUAAGUGGGAGUUCUUAAGUAAUAUGAUUAAUUGAACUUAAAUUUAUCAUGAACUUAGUCCUGAUAGUAUUUUGCAAAUUAUGUUGUAGAUCAAUAGCUCGCGUUGUUGCUUCCCUGUGUUUAUUUUUUGAUAUGUUCCUAGAGAAAAAUUAUGUUGAAAGAUGUUAGUAGCAAAGAUGCGGAUUGGAUCCGUGAUCUGAGGAUUAUCCUCAUUGCUGCACAGAAAAAUUAUGUCCUUGAUGCACCGCUAGGUGACAGACCUAUUGCAGGAGCAGAUGCAGACGUUAUGAACGUUUGGCUAGCUCAAUAUGAUGACUACUUGAUAGUUUAGUGCACCAUGCUUAACGGCUUAGAAUCGGGACUUCAAAGACAUUUUGAACGUCAUGGACCAUAUGAGAUGUUCCAGGAGUUGAAGUUAAUAUUUCAAGCAAAUACCCGAGUUGAGAGAUAUGAAAUCUCCAACAAGUUCUAUAGCAAAAAGAUGGAGGGGAAUCGCUCAACUAGUGAGCAUGUGCUCAGAUUGUCUGGGUACUACAAUCGCUUGAAUCAAGUGGGAGUUUAUCUUCCAGAUAAAAUAGUGAUUGACAGAAUUCUCUAGUCACCAUCACCAAGUUAGUAGAACUUCGUGAUGAUCUAUAGUAUGCAAGGGAUGACGAAAGUAAUUCCCGAGCUCUUCGUGAUGCUGAAAUCGACAAAGGUAGAAAUCAAGAAAAACAUCAAGUGUUGAUGGUUGACGAGACCACUAGUUUCAAGAAAAGGGCAAAGGGAAAAAGGGGAACUUCAAGAAGAACGGCAAGCAAGUUGCUGCUCAAGUGAAGAAGCCUAAGUCUGGUCCUAAGCCUGAGACUAAGUGCUUCUACUGCAAAGGGACUGGUCACUGGAAGCGGAACUACCCCAACUAUUUGGUGGAUAAGAAGGAUGGCAAAGUGAACAAAGGUAUAUUUGAUAUACAGAUUAUUGAUGUGUACUUUACUAGUGUUUAUAGCAACCCCUCGGUAAUUGAUACUGGUUCAGUUGCUAAGAGUAGUAACUCGAAACGGGAGUUGCAGAAUAAACAGAGACUAGUAAAAGUGAACAAAGGUAUAUUUGAUAUACAGAUUAUUGAUGUGUACUUUACUAGUGUUUAUAGCAACCCCUCGGUAAUUGAUACUGGUUCAGUUGCUAAAGAGUAGUAACUCGAAAACGGGAGUUGCAGAAUAAACAGAGACUAGUAAAAGGCGAGGUGACGAUGUGUGUUGGAAGUAGUUCGAAGAUUGAUAUGAUCAUCAUCGCACACUCCCUGUACUUCCGGGAUUAGUGUUGAAACUAAAUAAGUGUUAUUUGGUGUUUGCGUUGAGCAUGAAUAUGAUUUGAUCAUGUUUAUUGCAAUACGGUUAUUCAUUUAAAUUAGAGAACAAUUGUUGUUCUGUUUACAUGAAUAAAACCUUCUAUGGUCAUACACACCAACGAAAAUGGUUUGUUGGAUCUCGAUCGUAGUGAUACACAUAUUCAUAAUAUUGAAGCCAAAAGAUGCAAAGUUAAUAAUGAUAGUGCAACUUAUUUGUGGCACUGCCGUUUAGGUCAUAUUGGUGUCAAGCGCAUGAAGAAACUCCAUACUGAUGGGAUUUUGGAAUCACUUGAUUACGAAUCACUUGAUGCUUGCGAACCGUGCCUCAUGGGCAAGAUGACUAAAACGCCGCUCUCCGGAACUAUGGAGAGAGCAACAGAUUUGUUGGAAAUCAUACAUACAGAUGUAUGUGGUCCGAUGAAUAUUGAGGCUCGUAGCAGGUAUCAUUAUUUUCUGACCUUCACAGAUGAUUUGAGCAGAUAUGGGUAUAUCUACUUAAUGAAACAAGAGCCUGAAACAUUUGAAAAGUUCAUAUAAUUUCAGAGUGAAGCAGAAAAUCAUCGUAACAAGAAAAUAAAGUUUCUACGAUCUGAUCGUGGAGAAGAGUAUUUAAGUUACGAGUUUGGCCUUCAGAUAAAACAAUGUGGAAUAGUUUCACAAAUUCAUGCCACCUGGAACACCACAUCAUAAUGGUGUGCCCGAACGUCAUAACCGUACUUUAUUGGAUAUAGUGCAAUCUAUGAUGUCUCUUACCAAUUUACCACUAAUCGUUUUGGGGGUUAUGCAUUAGAGACAGCUACAUUCACGUUAAAUAGGGCACCAUCAAAAUCCGUUGAGACGACGCCUUAUGAACUGAGGUUUAGCAAGAAACCAAAGUUGUCGUUUCUUAAAAUUUUGGGGUUGCGGUGCUUAUGUGAAAAGGUUUCAUCCUGAUAAGCUCAAACCCAAAUCGGAUAAAUGUGUCUUCAUAGGAUACCCAAAGGAGACAGUUGGGUACACCUUCUAUCAUAGAUCCGAAGGCAAGACAUUCGUUGCUUAGUAUGGAUCCUUUCUAGAGAAGGAGUUUCUCUCGAAAGAAGUGAGUGGGAGGAAAGUAGAACUUGAUGAGGUAACUGUACCUGCUCCCUUAUUGGAAAGUAGUUCAUCACAGAAAUCUGUUCCUGUGACUUCUACACCAAUUAGUGAGGAAGUUAAUGAUGAUGAUCAUGUAACUUCAGAUCAAGUUACUACCAAACCUCGUAGGUAAACCAGAGUAAGAUCCGCACCAGAGUGGUACGGUAAUCCUGUUCUGGAGGUUAUGUUACUAGACCAUAACGAACCUACGAACUAUGAAGAAGCGAUGGUGAGCCCAGAUUCCGCAAAAUGGCUUGAGGCCAUGAAAUCUGAGAUGAGAUCCAUGUAUGAGAACAAAGUGUGGACUUUGGUUGACUUGCCCGAUGAUCGGCAAGCAAUAGAAAAUAAAUGGAUCUUCAAGAGGAAGACGGACGCUGAUAGUAGUGUUACUAUCUACAAAGCUAGAAUUGUCGCAAAAGGUUUUCGACAAGUUCAAAGUGUUGACUACGAUGAGAGUUUCUCACUCGUAUCUAUGCUUAAGUCUGUCCGAAUCAUGUUAGCAAUUGCCGCAUUUUAUGAAAUAUGGCAAAUGGAUAAACAAAACUGCAUUCCUUAAUGGAUUUAUUAAAGAAGAGUUGUAUAUGAUGCAACCAGAAGGUUUUGUCAAUCCUAAAGGUGCUAACAAAAUAUGCAAGCUCCAGCGAUCCAUCUAUGGACUGGUGCAAGUAUCUCGGAGUUGGAAUAUACGCUUUGAUAAGUUGAUCAAAGGAUAUAGUUUUAUACAGACUUGCGGUGAAGCCUGUAUUUACAAGAAAGUGAGUGGGAGCACUACAACAUUUCUGAUAAGUAUAUGUGAAUGACAUAUUGUUGAUCGGAAAUAAUGUAGAAAUAUUCUACAAAGCAUAAAUGAGUGUUUGAAAGGAGUUUUCAAAGAAAGACUUCGGUGAAGCUGCUUACAUAUUGAGCAUCAAGAUCUAUAGAGAUAGAUCAAGACGCUUGAUAAAGUUUUCAAUGAGUACAUACCUUAACAAGAUUUUGAAGUAGUUCAAAAUAGAACAGUCAAAGAAAAAGUUCUUGGCUGUGUUACAAGGUGUGAAAUUGAGUAAGACUCAAAACCCGACCACGGCAGAAGAUAGAAAAAGAAUGAAAGUCAUUCCCUAUGCCUCGGCCAUAGGUUCUAUAAAGUAUGCCAUGCUGUGUACCAGAUCUAUUGUAUACCCUACACUGAUUUUGGCAAGGGAGUACAAUAGUGAUCUAGGAGUAGAUCACUAGACAGCGGUCAAAAUUAUCCUUACUGGAAUAAGGAUAUGUUUCUCGAUUAUGGAAGUGCCAAAAGGCUCGUCGUAAAAGGUUACGUCAAUGCAAGUUUUGACACUAAUCUAGAUAACUCUAAGUCUCGGUCUAGAUACAUAUUGAAAGUGGGAGCAAUUAGCUAGAGUAGCUCCAUGCAGAGCAUUGUAGACAUAGAAAUUUGCAAAAUACUUACGGAUCUGAAUAUGACAGACCCGUUGACUAAAAUUAUCUCACAAGCAAAACAUGAUCACACCUUAGUACUCUUUGGGUGUUAAUCACAUAGCAAUGUGAACUAGAUUACUGACUCUAGUAAACCUCUUGGGUGAUGGUCACAUGACGAUGUGAACUAUGGGUGUUAAUCACAUGGUGAUGUGAACUAUUCAUGUUAAAUCACAUGGCGAUGUGAACUAGAUUAUUGACUCUAGUGCAAGUGGGAGAAUGAAGGAAAUAUGCCCUAGAGGCAAUAAUAAAGUUAUUAUUUAUUUCCUUAUAUCAUGAUAAAUGUUUAUUAUUCAUGCUAGAAUUGUAUUAACCGGAAACAUAAUACAUGUGUGAAUACAUAGACAAACAGAGUGUCACUAGUAUGCCUCUACUUGACUAGCUCGUUAAUCAAAGAUGGUUAUGUUUCCUAGCCAUAGACAUGAGUUGUCAUUUGAUUAACGGGAUCACCUCAUUAGGAGAAUGACGUGAUUGACUUGACCCAUUCCGUUAGCUUAGCACCCGAUCGUUUAGUAUGUUGCUAUUGCUUUCUUCAUGACUUAUACAUGUUCCUAUGACUAUGAGAUUAUGCAACUCCCAUUUACCAGAGGAACACUUUGUGUGCUACCAAACGUCACAACGUAAAUGGGUGAUUAUAAAGGUGCUCUACAGGUGUCUCCAAAGGUACUUGUUGGGUUGGCGUAUUUCGAGAUUAGGAUUUGUCACUCCGAUUGUCGGAGAGGUAUCUCUGGGCCCACUCGGUAAUGCACAUCACUAUAAGCCUUGCAAGCAUUGUGACUAAUAAGUUAGUUGCGGGAUGAUGUGUUACGGAACGAGUAAAGAGACUUGCCGGUAACGAGAUUGAACUAGGUAUCGAGAUACCGACGAUCAAAUCUCGGGCAAGUAACAUACCGGUGACAAAGGGAACAACGUAUGUUGUUAUGCGGUCUAACCGAUAAAGAUCUUCGUAGAAUAUGUGGGAGCCAAUAUGGGCAUCCAGGUCCCGCUAUUGGUUAUUGACCGGAGACGUGUCUCGGUCAUGUCUACAUAGUUCUCGAACCCGUAGGGUCCGCACGCUUAAAGUUACGAUGACAGUUUUAUUAUGAGUUUAUGUAUGUUGAUGUACCGAAGGAGUUCGGAGUCCCGGAUGAGAUCGGGGACAUGACGAGGAGUCUCGAAAUGGUCGAGACGUAAAGAUCGAUAUAUUGGACGACUAUAUUCGGACUUCGGAAAGGUUCCGAGUGAUUCGGGUAUUUUUCGGAGUACCGGAGAGUUACGGGAAUACGUAUUGGGCCUUAUUGGGCCAUACGGGAAAGAAGAAAAAGGGCCUCAAGGGUGGCCGCACCCCUUCCCUUGGUCUGGUCCGAAUUGGACUAGGGAAGGGGGGCGCCCCCUUCCUUCCUUCUCUUUUUCCCUUCCUCUUUUCCUAUUCCAUAUGGGAGGUGGAAUCCUACUAGGACUAGGGAGUCCUAGUAGGACUCCACACUUGGUGCGCCCCCUCCUAGGGCCGGCCUCCUCCUCCCUUGCUCCUUUAUAUACGGGGGCAGGGGGCACCCCAUAGACACAACAAUUGAUCCUUGAGAUCUCUUAGCCGUGUGCGGUGCCCCCCUCCACCAUAUUACACCUCGAUAAUACCGUUGCGGAGCUUAGGCGAAGCCCUGCGUCGGUGGAACAUCGUCAUCGUCACCACGCCGUCGUGCUGACGAAACUCUCCCUCAACACUCGGCUGGAUCGGAGUUCGAGGGGCGUCAUCGAGCUGAACGUGUGUAGAACUCGGAGGUGCCGUGCGUUCGGUACUUGAUCGGUCGGAUCGUGAAGACGUACGACUACAUCAACCGCGUUGUGAUAACGCUUCCGCUUUCGGUCUACGAGGGUACGUGGACAACGCUCUCCCCUCUCGUUGCUAUGCAUCACCAUGAUCUUGCGUGUGCGUAGGAAUUUUUUUGAAAUUACUACGUUCCCCAACAGUGGCAUCCGAGCCUGGUUUUAUGCGUUGAUGCUAUGCACGAGUAGAACACAAGUGAGUUGUGGGCGAUAUAAGUCAUACUGCUUACCAGCAUGUCAUACUUUGGUUCAGCGGUAUUGUGAGAUGAAGCGGCCCGGACCGACAUUACGCGUACGCUUACGCGAGACUGGUUUCACCGUUCGGAGCACUCGUUGCUUAAAGGUGACUGGCGGGUGUCUGUCUCUCUCACUUUAGUUGAACCGAGUGUGGCUACGCCCGGUCCUUGCGAAGGUUAAAACAGCACCAACUUGACAAACUAUCGUUGUGGUUUUGAUGCGUAGGUAAGAACGGUUCUUGCUAAGCCCGUAGCAGCCACGUAAAACUUGCAACAACAAAGUAGAGGACGUCUAACUUGUUUUUGCAGGGCAUGUUGUGAUGUGAUAUGGUCAAGACAUGAUGUGAUAUAAUGUGUUGUAUGAGAUGAUCAUGUUUUGUAACCGAGUUAUCGGCAACUGGCAGGAGCCAUAUGGUUGUCGCUUUAUUGUAUGAGAUGCAAUCGCCAUGUAAUAGUUUUACUUUAUCACUAAGCGGUAGCGAUAGUCGUAAAAGCAAUAAGUUGGCGAGACGACAACGAUGCUACGAUGGAGAUCAAGGUGUCGCGCCGGUGACGAUGGUGAUCAUGACGAUGCUUCGGAGAUGGAGAUCACAAGCACGGUGCUUCGGAGAUGGAGAUCACAAGCACAAGAUGAUGAUGGCCAUAUCAUAUCACUUAUAUUGAUUGCAUGUGAUGUUAAUCCUUUAUGCAUCUUAUCUUGCUUUGAUUGACGGUAGCAUUAUAAGAUGAUCUCUCACUAAAAUUUCAAGAUAAAAGUGUUCUCCCUGAGUAUGCACCGUUGUAAAAGUUCUUCGUGCUGAGACACCACGUGUUAAUCGGGUGUGAUAGGCUCUACGUUCAAAUACAACGGGUGCAAAACAGUUGCACACGCGGAAUACUCAUGUUAAACUUGACGAGCCUAGCAUAUACAGAUAUGGCCUCGGAACACAGAGACCGAAAGGUCGAGCGUGAAUCAUAUAGUAGAUAUGAUCAACAUAGUGAUGUUCACCAUUGAAACUACUCCAUCUCACGUGUUAAUCGGACAUGGUUUAGUUGCUUUGGAUCACGUAAUCACUUAGAUGAUUAGAGGGAUGUCUAUCUAAGUGGGAGUUCUUAAGUAAUAUGAUUAAUUGAACUUAAAUUUAUCAUGAACUUAGUCCUGAUAGUAUUUUGCAAAUUAUGUUGUAGAUCAAUAGCUCGCGUUGUUGCUUCCCUGUGUUUAUUUUUUGAUAUGUUCCUAGAGAAAAAUUAUGUUGAAAGAUGUUAGUAGCAAAGAUGCGGAUUGGAUCCGUGAUCUGAGGAUUAUCCUCAUUGCUGCACAGAAAAAUUAUGUCCUUGAUGCACCGCUAGGUGACAGACCUAUUGCAGGAGCAGAUGCAGAUGUUAUGAACGUUUGGCUAGCUCAAUAUGAUGACUACUUGAUAGUUUAGUGCACCAUGCUUAACGGCUUAGAAUCGGGACUUCAAAUACGUUUUGAACGUCAUGGACCAUAUGAGAUGUUCCAGGAGUUGAAGUUAAUAUUUCAAGCAAAUACCCGAGUUGAGAGAUAUGAAAUCUCCAACAAGUUCUAUAGCAAAAAGAUGGAGGGGAAUCGCUCAACUAGUGAGCAUGUGCUCAGAUUGUCUGGGUACUACAAUCGCUUGAAUCAAGUGGGAGUUUAUCUUCCAGAUAAAAUAGUGAUUGACAGAAUUCUCUAGUCACCAUCACCAAGUUAGUAGAACUUCGUGAUGAUCUAUAGUAUGCAAGGGAUGACGAAAGUAAUUCCCGAGCUCUUCGUGAUGCUGAAAUCGACAAAGGUAGAAAUCAAGAAAAACAUCAAGUGUUGAUGGUUGACGAGACCACUAGUUUCAAGAAAAGGGCAAAGGGAAAAAGGGGAACUUCAAGAAGAACGGCAAGCAAGUUGCUGCUCAAGUGAAGAAGCCUAAGUCUGGUCCUAAGCCUGAGACUAAGUGCUUCUACUGCAAAGGGACUGGUCACUGGAAGCGGAACUACCCCAACUAUUUGGUGGAUAAGAAGGAUGGCAAAGUGAACAAAGGUAUAUUUGAUAUACAGAUUAUUGAUGUGUACUUUACUAGUGUUUAUAGCAACCCCUCGGUAAUUGAUACUGGUUCAGUUGCUAAGAGUAGUAACUCGAAACGGGAGUUGCAGAAUAAACAGAGACUAGUAAAAGUGAACAAAGGUAUAUUUGAUAUACAGAUUAUUGAUGUGUACUUUACUAGUGUUUAUAGCAACCCCUCGGUAAUUGAUACUGGUUCAGUUGCUAAAGAGUAGUAACUCGAAAACGGGAGUUGCAGAAUAAACAGAGACUAGUAAAAGGCGAGGUGACGAUGUGUGUUGGAAGUAGUUCGAAGAUUGAUAUGAUCAUCAUCGCACACUCCCUGUACUUCCGGGAUUAGUGUUGAAACUAAAUAAGUGUUAUUUGGUGUUUGCGUUGAGCAUGAAUAUGAUUUGAUCAUGUUUAUUGCAAUACGGUUAUUCAUUUAAAUUAGAGAACAAUUGUUGUUCUAUUUACAUGAAUAAAACCUUCUAUGGUCAUACACACCAACGAAAAUGGUUUGUUGGAUCUCGAUCGUAGUGAUACACAUAUUCAUAAUAUUGAAGCCAAAAGAUGCAAAGUUAAUAAUGAUAGUGCAACUUAUUUGUGGCACUGCCGUUUAGGUCAUAUUGGUGUCAAGCGCAUGAAGAAACUCCAUACUGAUGGGAUUUUGGAAUCACUUGAUUACGAAUCACUUGAUGCUUGCGAACCGUGCCUCAUGGGCAAGAUGACUAAAACGCCGCUCUCCGGAACUAUGGAGAGAGCAACAGAUUUGUUGGAAAUCAUACAUACAGAUGUAUGUGGUCCGAUGAAUAUUGAGGCUCGUAGCAGGUAUCAUUAUUUUCUGACCUUCACAGAUGAUUUGAGCAGAUAUGGGUAUAUCUACUUAAUGAAACAAGAGCCUGAAACAUUUGAAAAGUUCAUAUAAUUUCAGAGUGAAGCAGAAAAUCAUCGUAACAAGAAAAUAAAGUUUCUACGAUCUGAUCGUGGAGAAGAGUAUUUAAGUUACGAGUUUGGCCUUCAGAUAAAACAAUGUGGAAUAGUUUCACAAAUUCAUGCCACCUGGAACACCACAUCAUAAUGGUGUGCCCGAACGUCAUAACCGUACUUUAUUGGAUAUAGUGCAAUCUAUGAUGUCUCUUACCAAUUUACCACUAAUCGUUUUGGGGGUUAUGCAUUAGAGACAGCUACAUUCACGUUAAAUAGGGCACCAUCAAAAUCCGUUGAGACGACGCCUUAUGAACUGAGGUUUAGCAAGAAACCAAAGUUGUCGUUUCUUAAAAUUUUGGGGUUGCGGUGCUUAUGUGAAAAGGUUUCAUCCUGAUAAGCUCAAACCCAAAUCGGAGAAAUGUGUCUUCAUAGGAUACCCAAAGGAGACAGUUGGGUACACCUUCUAUCAUAGAUCCGAAGGCAAGACAUUCGUUGCUUAGUAUGGAUCCUUUCUAGAGAAGGAGUUUCUCUCGAAAGAAGUGAGUGGGAGGAAAGUAGAACUUGAUGAGGUAACUGUACCUGCUCCCUUAUUGGAAAGUAGUUCAUCACAGAAAUCUGUUCCUGUGACUUCUACACCAAUUAGUGAGGAAGUUAAUGAUGAUGAUCAUGUAACUUCAGAUCAAGUUACUACCAAACCUCGUAGGUAAAACAGAGUAAGAUCCGCACCAGAGUGGUACGGUAAUCCUGUUCUGGAGGUUAUGUUACUAGACCAUAACGAACCUACGAACUAUGAAGAAGCGAUGGUGAGCCCAGAUUCCGCAAAAUGGCUUGAGGCCAUGAAAUCUGAGAUGAGAUCCAUGUAUGAGAACAAAGUGUGGACUUUGGUUGACUUGCCCGAUGAUCGGCAAGCAAUAGAAAAUAAAUGGAUCUUCAAGAGGAAGACGGACGCUGAUAGUAGUGUUACUAUCUACAAAGCUAGAAUUGUCGCAAAAGGUUUUCGACAAGUUCAAAGUGUUGACUACGAUGAGAGUUUCUCACUCGUAUCUAUGCUUAAGUCUGUCCGAAUCAUGUUAGCAAUUGCCGCAUUUUAUGAAAUAUGGCAAAUGGAUAAACAAAACUGCAUUCCUUAAUGGAUUUAUUAAAGAAGAGUUGUAUAUGAUGCAACCAGAAGGUUUUGUCAAUCCUAAAGGUGCUAACAAAAUAUGCAAGCUCCAGCGAUCCAUCUAUGGACUGGUGCAAGUAUCUCGGAGUUGGAAUAUACGCUUUGAUAAGUUGAUCAAAGGAUAUAGUUUUAUACAGACUUGCGGUGAAGCCUGUAUUUACAAGAAAGUGAGUGGGAGCACUACAACAUUUCUGAUAAGUAUAUGUGAAUGACAUAUUGUUGAUCGGAAAUAAUGUAGAAAUAUUCUACAAAGCAUAAAUGAGUGUUUGAAAGGAGUUUUCAAAAAAAGACUUCGGUGAAGCUGCUUACAUAUUGAGCAUCAAGAUCUAUAGAGAUAGAUCAAGACGCUUGAUAAAGUUUUCAAUGAGUACAUACCUUAACAAGAUUUUGAAGUAGUUCAAAAUAGAACAGUCAAAGAAAAAGUUCUUGGCUGUGUUACAAGGUGUGAAAUUGAGUAAGACUCAAAACCCGACCACGGCAGAAGAUAGAAAAAGAAUGAAAGUCAUUCCCUAUGCCUCGGCCAUAGGUUCUAUAAAGUAUGCCAUGCUGUGUACCAGAUCUAUUGUAUACCCUACACUGAUUUUGGCAAGGGAGUACAAUAGUGAUCUAGGAGUAGAUCACUAGACAGCGGUCAAAAUUAUCCUUACUGGAAUAAGGAUAUGUUUCUCGAUUAUGGAAGUGCCAAAAGGCUCGUCGUAAAAGGUUACGUCAAUGCAAGUUUUGACACUAAUCUAGAUAACUCUAAGUCUCGGUCUAGAUACAUAUUGAAAGUGGGAGCAAUUAGCUAGAGUAGCUCCAUGCAGAGCAUUGUAGACAUAGAAAUUUGCAAAAUACUUACGGAUCUGAAUAUGACAGACCCGUUGACUAAAAUUAUCUCACAAGCAAAACAUGAUCACACCUUAGUACUCUUUGGGUGUUAAUCACAUAGCAAUGUGAACUAGAUUACUGACUCUAGUAAACCUCUUGGGUGAUGGUCACAUGACGAUGUGAACUAUGGGUGUUAAUCACAUGGUGAUGUGAACUAUUCAUGUUAAAUCACAUGGCGAUGUGAACUAGAUUAUUGACUCUAGUGCAAGUGGGAGAAUGAAGGAAAUAUGCCCUAGAGGCAAUAAUAAAGUUAUUAUUUAUUUCCUUAUAUCAUGAUAAAUGUUUAUUAUUCAUGCUAGAAUUGUAUUAACCGGAAACAUAAUACAUGUGUGAAUACAUAGACAAACAGAGUGUCACUAGUAUGCCUCUACUUGACUAGCUCGUUAAUCAAAGAUGGUUAUGUUUCCUAGCCAUAGACAUAAGUUGUCAUUUGAUUAACGAUAUCACCUCAUUAGGAGAAUGACGUGAUUGACUUGACCCAUUCCGUUAGCUUAGCACCCGAUCGUUUAGUAUGUUGCUAUUGCUUUCUUCAUGACUUAUACAUGUUCCUCUGACUAUGAGAUUAUGCAACUCCCGUUUACCGGAGGAACACUUUGUGUGCUACCAAACGUCACAACGUAAAUGGGUGAUUAUAAAGGUGCUCUACAGGUGUCUCCAAAGGUACUUGUUGGGUUGGCGUAUUUCGAGAUUAGGAUUUGUCACUCCGAUUGUCGGAGAGGUAUCUCUGGGCCCACUCGGUAAUGCACAUCACUAUAAGCCUUGCAAGCAUUAUGACUAAUAAGUUAGUUGCGGGAUGAUGUGUUACGGAACGAGUAAAGAGACUUGCCGGUAACGAGAUUGAACUAGGUAUCGAGAUACCGACGAUCGAAUCUCGGGCAAGUAACAUACUGAUGACAAAGGGAACAACGUAUGUUGUUAUGCGGUCUGACCGAUAAAGAUCUUCGUAGAAUAUGUGGGAGCCAAUAUGGGCAUCCAGGUCCCGCUAUUGGUUAUUGACCGGAGACGUGUCUCGGUCAUGUCUACAUAGUUCUCGAACCCGUAGGGUCCGCACGCUUAAAGUUACGAUGACAAUUUUAUUAUGAGUUUAUGUAUGUUGAUGUACCGAAGGAGUUCGGAGUCCCGGAUGAGAUCGGGGACAUGACGAGGAGUCUCGAAAUGGUCGAGACGUAAAGAUCGAUAUAUUGGACGACUAUAUUCGGACUUCGGAAAGGUUCCGAGUGAUUCGGGUAUUUUUCGGAGUACCGGAGAGUUACGGGAAUACGUAUUGGGCCUUAUUGGGCCAUACGGGAAAGAAGGAAAAGGGCCUCAAGGGUGGCCGCACCCCUCCCCUUGGUCUGGUCCGAAUUGGGCUAGGGAAGGGGGGCGCCCCCUUCCUUCCUUCUCUUUUUCCCUUCCUCUUUUCCUAUUCCAUAUGGGAGGUGGAAUCCUACUAGGACUAGGGAGUCCUAGUAGGACUCCACACUUGGUGCGCCCCCUCCUAGGGCCGGCCUCCUCCUCCCUUGCUCCUUUAUAUACGGGGGCAGGGGGCACCCCAUAGACACAACAAUUGAUCCUUGAGAUCUCUUAGCCGUGUGCGGUGCCCCCCUCCACCAUAUUACACCUCGAUAAUACCGUUGCGGAGCUUAGGCGAAGCCCUGCGUCGGUGGAACAUCGUCAUCGUCACCACGCCGUCGUGCUGACGAAACUCUCCCUCAACACUCGGCUGGAUCGGAGUUCGAGGGACGUCAUCGAGCUGAACGUGUGUAGAACUCGGAGGUGCCGUGCGUUCGGUACUUGAUCGGUCGGAUCGUGAAGACGUACGACUACAUCAACCGCGUUGUGAUAACGCUUCCGCUUUCGGUCUACGAGGGUACGUGGACAACGCUCUCCCAUCUCGUUGCUAUGCAUCACCAUGAUCUUGCGUGUGCGUAGGAAUUUUUUUGAAAUUACCACGUUCCCCAACACAAGGAGCACCGGCACAGAGAACUAUGAUGUCGAAAUCCGGAUGAUGCCCUGGGUGAGCAUGACCGCACACUGCCACUCCAGCUCAUGCUUCUGCAGCUGGGGUUAGCGGUACGGCCGCACGGCGACAGGAGCUGUGUCCAGCAGUAGGUGGAUGCGGUGGUCGUAGGGCCGGACUGGCGGGAGGCCCUGUGGCUCGUCGAAGAGGUCGCUGUGCUGCUGGAACAGGCUAGCCAACAGGGGGUGCUCUGCGUCGACGGCGGCCGCCGUCAACCGGGGCUGGGGCACCGCCGGGGCGGCGCCACCCACGCCCUCCCAUCGGACGCGGCGCCCCAGGUGCCAGAAGAUCAUCGUCAUGGCGUCUAAAUCCCAGAGGAUGGGACCCAGGGUCCGCAAAAUGUUGACGCCGAGGAUGAAGUCGAAGCAGCCCAAGUCAAUGCCGACGCAGGUGAUGGUGAAGUGCUCGUCGCCGAUGGUGAUGGGGACAUGCCGAGCAAUACCCUUGCAGUGUAGAUGGUCACCAUUGUCCACGGUAACUUAGCUGCUCCCCGCCAAUCGGUUGCGGUGCUAGGCGUCGCAUGGUGGCCCCGGGCAAGAAGUUGUGGGUGGAGCCCGUAUGCAGCAGCGCGAGGAACCGCUCCCCGUAGAUCGUCACCGGCAGCAGCAUAGUCUUCUCCGUCCGGAUGCCCGCGAGGGCAUGGAGGGAGACCACGAGGGCGUUCGCCUGGUCGGGGCCCGGGGGAACCUCGGCAUCAAAUGGAGCGGUCGGGUCAUCGAGCCUGGUGGCGGCGGCGUCCUCCUCGAUGCAGUCUGCAGCCUCCAAGUAGAAGAGGCGCGGGAAAACAUGGCCCGGAACGUAGGGCUCGUCGCAGUUGUAGCACAACCCCUGACGACGGCGCUCGAGCUGCUCGGCCGGGGUUAGCCAACGGAAUGGGCGUGCCGCGGCCGGGGCGUUGGGUGUUGCGAGGGUCUGGGCAGGACGCCCCNNNNNNNNNNNNNNNNNNNNNNNNNNNNNNNNNNNNNNNNNNNNNNNNNNNNNNNNNNNNNNNNNNNNNNNNNNNNNNNNNNNNNNNNNNNNNNNNNNNNNNNNNNNNNNNNNNNNNNNNNNNNNNNNNNNNNNNNNNNNNNNNNNNNNNNNNNNNNNNNNNNNNNNNNNNNNNNNNNNNNNNNNNNNNNNNNNNNNNNNNNNNNNNNNNNNNNNNNNNNNNNNNNNNNNNNNNNNNNNNNNNNNNNNNNNNNNNNNNNNNNNNNNNNNNNNNNNNNNCGGGACGGUGGCGCCUGCUGCAUGGCCACCGCACGACGCUCGAAGGCGCGGGCAUAGUACAUGGCCGUCUGGAGGUCCUGUGGCGCGCGCAUCUCCACGUCCACGCGGAUGUGGUCCGGCAGACCGCCAAUGAAGAGCUCGGCCCGCUGGCGAGCCGUGACGCUGGGAGCGUGGCAAGCUAGGGCUUGGAAGCGGUCGGCGAAGUCUUGCACCGUGGAGAGAAAAGGCAGGCGCCCAAGCUCCGCCAGCCGACUCCCGCGUAUCGGCGGUCCAAAGCGCAAUAGGCAGAGCUCGCGAAAAUGCUCCCAUGGGGGCAUGCCACCCUCGUCUCGUUCGAGAGCGUAGUACCACGUUUGAGCUGCUCCCCAGAGGUGGUAUGAGGCGAUCCAGGUGCGGUCGGACGCGAGCGUGCGCUGCCCUCUAAAAAAUUGGUCGCACUGGUUGAGCCAAUUCGCGGGGUCCACGGUGCCGUCGUAGGGUGGCGAACUCGAGCUUGGAGAAUCGCAGCGGUGGCUUAGGCGUGGACGAGGGGCGGGUGUGCCUCGUCUGCGCGGAAGAGCGAGGGCGGUGGAGCCGAGUAGGCAGGCAUCAGGGUGCCGCCGUGGAACAGGGGCCCGUCGACGCCGUCGUAGCAGCCGGCGGAACCCGAGGGCCCGCCGUACUGCAUGGCAGGGUGCGGCAAGGAUGGUUGGCCCGAGGCCGUCGUAUAGACUGGCUCGAGGGAUCCGGCGAGCCAGGCCGGCAGUGGUGACGGCGAUGGGGGAAUCGGACCUGGUGGAUGGGCACACCCUGGGCCGUCGUCGGGACGCCCUGGAACGAGGACGCUGGGGGUGGCGGCUGCAGCGGCGGCACCAUGGUGGUGGCGAAGGAGGUCGCCGGGGGUGGCGGCGGCCACUGGUGCGGCUGUGGCGCCAGGGUGGUGGCGAAGGGGGCUGGCGGCGGCCCAUAGGGACCUGGUGGAACGAGCGGAUGCCCGCGACCACCUGCCCGAGCUCCUGUAGCGCCGCCGUCAUCUCCUCGGGGGUGAAGACGAUGGGGGCGGUAACCGGUGGCGUCCAGGCGGCGGAGGAGAUCGGUCCCGACAAGGGCGGCGCGGUCGUCGCGGUGGUCAUCGGCGGCGUGGUGGUGACCAGCAGCGGGAGGGUGGCGGUGGGCAGAGGGGUGGACAUGAUCGAACUGGAGACAGCUGAUACCAGAUUGAUAGGAGCUGGGUUCCUACCAGGCCGUGCCCUCAGGUUAUAGGAGUGGAAGGGAGGCUGCCGAGGUGAGGGGUGCGAGCGGCGGCGCUGGGGCGCCGUGAUCGCGUGGAAGAGAGGAAGGCGCAAGGGCGGCUAGGGUUUAGGUUUCUCGGUUCAAGAGCCGAGCAAUAGAGAUGACUUAUUGCUUAAUGCCAAAACGAGUCCUUACAAAUGUUUAUAUAAUCCUCCUAUGUGCUAAUAAAAAUAGUGAUAAGUUGGGCCAAGCCCGUAGCUGGCCGCGUGAUUGGGCCUCCUCCGGCUAUAGUAAACGCGGGUCAUAACAGAUUGUUUCUGAGUGCAUCUUGUGUCCCUCAAUACAUAGUAUAUUGAAACUUGAACUGGAUGCUCUGCCAGCACAUUGCUGUUGUCUGGCGUGACCAAAUGUUUUUCAGUACCUAGAGGUUGCGUUGAGAUUCUCUAACUUAAGUCAGGUCAGGUGAGUUAGCAGUCCGGAUCUACGCCCAACAUGUAGUAAUGUGGAAAAAGUAGAUAAUGACAUAAUUUACUAUCAACCAAAACAUUCCAAUCACAAUUCCCUAAGAAUUUUCCAUCAGCAAGAUGAUUGUUUCCCAUUUGCAGGUUGACCUUCCUCGUUGCAGCGGCGUGUUUGCUGGCAGGAUCAGUCCGUAAUGCAUACCACACCCGGUACAGGGGGAUCUUCAACGGUGACCCACUCUCUUGCGAGACGCUGCGCAAGGGUGUAUUUGCUGCUGGUGCAGCCUUCACCUUCUUCACGGCCAUCCUGAGCGAGUUCUAUUACAUCAGCUACUCCCAAUCCCGGGAUGCCGCUGGUGACACUCCAUACGGCGGCUCCAGUAUCGGCAUGGGCCCUUACAAUUAAGGAGCUCGGUGCAGGAGGUUUAAGGAGCUCCAGUAUCGGUGCAGGAGGUAGUUACGGUGUGGAUCAUGUAGCUCGUGGAGUGCGGUGUUCUUGUUAACAUUAAUUACGGUGGUAGUUACGGUGUAAUUUGGCUUGCUGUUUUCAGUAGGCUACGUAUGAGAUUACUUGGUCGGGCUUUGUACUAUUCGGAUUAUUGGAUUGGAUUCUGGAUUGGAAUUGCUUAUCCAGUUAUCCUAGUCUGCUGAUGUGAUUUUAACGGGUCGCACUAUUCGUCACAGGUGAGGAAUCGCUAUUCUUCGCCGGAUAUUCUAUUCUGAGCUCAGGCUCAGCUGAAUCUGAAAUCAGCACCAUUCGCUACCAUCUGGAUCUGUGCUUGUGACCUGUAUUUGCGUCAGGUAUAGCCAAUUAUUGCACUCAAAUAAGGCCUGUUCCUGCGUGCAUUAAUUGCGACGGCCACCGUCACCUUCAGUUGGAACAGAUGAUCCGUGCACGGCUCAGUUGAUUUCCUGUACCCGGGUGAGCCGUCUUGGUUGGUUAGCUGCUGCAAGGGACAUACAUCCGGCUCGUCUGUAUUACACAUCGCAACGAGGCAUGAUUUGUCAUUAACGAAAUAAUAUGAAUGCCAUUUUCUAUUUCCUGGGGCAUGAUUUGCAUCUUUUACACGAACGCACCUCCUCACACCAGCCAUGACCAAAAAACUACGACUAGAAAUGUACUAACAGAUGCACUCCGGCAACAACGUCGUACAUUACAACACCAAUGGUUUCGACAAUCAAAAAAGCUAGCUCACGCAUACCAGACUAUUGCCUUCAACAAGUGCUCCCAAAAUGCACACCACAGUAACUACGCCAGAGCUCUACAUGCGAGACCGAAAAAAUACAGCGACACAGACAAUCAACAAAACCAACUCUUUGUCUGCCUACGCUUACAUGAGAUGCUACCAACCUCCUCUUCGUGUGAGCAAGUGUCACUAAGGUCAAUCAACACAUACACGGUCAGGGAUCGUUUUUUUACAUCAGUUAUAGCAACACUUUAUUCGACCUGCAUGCCGGAGGUUGGGAAAUCGCCGAAACCUUCUUCCAAAAGAACCGCAACUUGAGUCCACGCCCAUUUCCUGCUUGCAGCUCGUUCCGCCUUUGCGAUCCAUGAGGACAACUUCACCCUGGAACACUUAUCACCGUGAAGCAAUCGCAUAAAACCAAAGGCAAACGUUGCCUGCUCUGAGUUUGCAGUGCUCACCUCGCCAUUAUCCUGCGCCGCUUCAUCUGGCUGUAUUAGAUCAUUCGUGUACACAUCUGUGUGCUUGGCUGUGAUUCUCAUGAUGCUCUAUUAUAUACCAACUAUUGUCAGCCGCCCACAGUAGCCGUAUCAAUGCAGGUCAAUUGCAUCUACACGACCUUCUAUUCUCUGCAUCUGGCUUACCCUGCUUUGCAAAACCAAGAGUCAUUGUCAAUUACAUUUCCAACUAUUUUAUAUUCUCUAACAAACAAAAAAAACAAAACAGAUUUAAGUACACACCGGACAGCCACAAACGAUCUCCUGCAUUGACUUUGUCCUCUCGGCAUUCAAUCUGCUUCCACACCAACAGUCCAUGGGAACAACUAGAAUCAUGCAUUGAUGUCUCAAAACAUUUUUUGCAUUUGAAAGUAGUAUUGGAGCAUGUAACCAGUCCCUUCAGUUAAAAGAUUCACUGACUUUGUUGGCAUUUAACAAAUCAAAGAAGAUAUACACCAGGUCCUCCAGGUUAAUUUUCUGUGGUCAUAAAUAUCAAGCUGUUCCAUUCGAAAAGCAAAUCUUUUUCUGAAAGGAUGGCAUGUUGUGAACAAUAACCUUUUGUAUCUACAACAAAAAAUUGCUGCCUGCAAUCACUUUGCAACAGCUGGAUUAUUUUCUCUCAUUCUCCUUGCGGUGGAUCUAAUUUUUUUUGUCAAUGCGCAGCAGCAGCGACUACCGCUUCGGCGAUGACUGUCAUUUCCUCCAUCACUUUACAAGCAGCCACAAUGGACAUGAUCAGGAUAUUACGAAAAAAGAUGAACAGCUGGAUCUAGGCGGUGAUGGGAAGCUCGGGAAGCCAAUGAGUCCUGCGAGCAGCUUCAAGACCAGACUAUGCCUAAGCUUUGUCGCCAGCGGAUGCCAGUUGGCCUAUGGCAAAGUUGAGCUGCGCAGGCCAGACGCAUCUUCAGAAGUCCAAGAUCAAGUGGUUCUCAUGCUGUUUGUGAUGAUCGUGUGUCUGCUGUUUUGCAGAAAUGCCUAAAUAUAAACUUUUCUAUUCUUGUCAUAGUCCAUUUUUUCGGUUCAAUGAAGGCAUGAUAGGCAACAAAAAUGGAUUGAACAGGAACUCACCGUAUCUCUUAUUCUCUUCCUUAAAUUUUAACUGAACAAUACAAUUCUUCAUGUAGCUGGACAACACCUCUUCCACUCCUAUUUUACAUGUAAUACAUGCAUUAUCAGCUUCUGUUGUUACCUUCUCUUGGAUAAUGAGCAGGGUAAGUGUCAGUUGGAGAGAGAUAGUGCUGACAGACAGCAAGGUCCUCAAGUUCUGGGCUGAGGAUGUAUACAAGGUUUUUGGGAUCCCUUGCGGUCAUCGCAAAAUCAAAGGCACGGAUGCCAACAUAAACCCUGAAGCAAUUUAGUUCUUAUAGGUAUUACUUGAAAUGAACAAGAUAGGGGUUCACAGCUUGCGCGCAGCAGAAGAGUUCCUUUUGGGCGACAUCAACGAGAAUUCCAGCAAGCUAGAAAAAUAUUGUUUCCAGAUAGCCUUUGUUAUAUUUGUCGUGGGCCAUGUCCUUGGUCUAUUAUGUACCAACUGUUGUCGGUCGUGCGCUGCAGCCUUAUAAAUGCAGGACACUCACAGUGGCAUGAACUACUAUUCUCUGCCUCUGGUUUCCCCAGUAUAAUUUCAUAAAAACACAAAUGCCAUCAUUUAAACACACUUGCAGCACCGAAACCCAUGGCUGCCACUUAUUUUCCAAAAUGAUAAUUACAUGAAUCAGUGUUUACCGAGCAGCCGCAGACAAUUUCUUGCAUUGACUUUGUCCUUUCGGCGUUUAGCCGGCUCUUAUAGAAGUCGCCUCGCACAAUGAAUUGAAACUUAGGCCUAGUGUGGGAUGUACUAAACUUUUCAUAGGUUCCGCAUACUUCCGAAUAGAUUGUUCCAAUGCACUCAUCCGUGAUGGGCAUGGAGUCCUGUCUGGUGGUGCACUACCGAGUCAUAACCUAAAUUUACAAACCGGCCUUCAAUAGUAAAAUACUUCCAGAAUUUGCAUAAAAGUAGUUACAGCAGCUAUACUGUUACGAUCGCCUACCAUGGUUUACAUUUCCACUGCUACAUAGAUCAGUUCCUGCAUUUUUUAUUCGUACUACUGUGAGCUCAGAUAUUAUUAUUUUGUUUGGAUAUAUGAACGUGGGGCAAACACUCUGAACAAAUGCAAUUCUACAAUGACAGUGUUUGGGGUUCAGACCUUUUCGUCCAGCGGGGGCUUGCCGGUUGAUUCUGUCAGUUGACUGCGCCAACCAAGCAGGAGAAGCAUCCGGACGACGGCGCACCACCCCGUGUGCUCUCUCCGGGACAGCGCUGCCGAUCUGCUGCCCGUAACCAGACCCAUUGUUUGAGUCCGCCGGGACUCCACCGUUGGCCAAGCUCUCCAGCAGAAAGGCCAGAGGCGCUGGAUCUGUGUGAUCCAAGCUAUCGGCGAACUCCUCCCGGAGCGGGAACCUGAUCUCAAGUGGCAACCAGCGCCGGUCAUGGCCAGCGUUAGCUUAUUUCUCCCGGCGUGCCUGCUGACACUGCUUACCCCAAAAAACAUAUUAGAUCCCCCGGGAACUAACUGUCCACGGCAUCAAGCAAGAACUCAUGCACACAAUCUUCCAUCUUCUAGUUUCUGGUACAGAUCAAGCGCCGCCGCCUGUCCUCCCGUAAUCCAUGAAGGCGGAACAGAGGUGAUUUCUGCGGGUAGAGGGGUGGAGACGACUCCAGAUGUCGCCGUUUUAUCCAAACGGGCUGCACACUUUUCUGAUCCAUGGCUCGGUACAAAACCAAACGUCCUGGUCCACGGACCAUAACUGGCAAGCGAAACGGGCCUUUCCCCGCGUACGAUCUGGCCCACAAAAGCUCCAUUGUUUCCUACUGUAUAUCGAAUACAACCCUUUUUCCCCGUUCCGCAGCAGACGCGCCAGCAGGAUUUGUUCGCAUCCCGAGUAACGAGCGGACGACGAAGAUUUCGGGAGCAUCUGGGCUCGAGCACCGAAUCGCCGCCUUCAUCAAUUUUGUCCUACGUUGGAAGUGAAAAGAGUAGGCAAAUAAAUGUAUGUAGGCCAAAAAGGAUAUUCUACGUGAUGUAAAAUGACGAGCACAAAAUGUACACAUAAAUGUAAAUUUUGUGUUUUUGUGACUCAUACUUAAUUUUUCUUGUACUGGUUUUGGCGUAGUGAAUCGAUAUAAACCUAAUUAUUCGUGUAAGUCGCGCUAACUGGUGCAGAGACCAACUACAACCGAGAAGUUAAGCAAACUAUUUUUUGACCAACUACAACGGAGAAGUUAAGCAAACUAUUUUUUGACCAACUGACCAGUUACAACUUAGAAGUUAGAUAAACUAUUUAAAAAGUGAAGUGAACAGUCUAAGAGUAUCUUCAAUAGAGGGUCCAAAUUUUGGCGGUCCAAAACCGGAGAUGUAAAAUUUGGACCACCAAAAAGUGCAUUUUGAAGCUCCGAAAAACGCUCAACUCCAACCGAUGGUCCAAAUUGAUGGUCCAAAAAAGCAACUCCAAUAGAUGGUCCGAACCAAAGAUAUAAAAAUCUGAAAACGGUCGCGCGGCUGCUGCCAGCCACUGCUCAGUCGUGGUUUUGCAUUGAAAUAGCAUCAAAAAUUUGAAACUAAAGUGCAUCAUCAUCAUAGUUUCAAUCAGAAGUGCAUCACCAUCAUAGUAUCAAAUCCCUCUACCAAAAGAGCAUCGUCUCAAUCAAAGUUUUUCGCCCUAGAAAUUGAAAUGCACAUGAAUAUUACUCAUGCGGGUCAUCAACACCACCGGCGUUGUGAACCGUGGUACGAUCAUCAUCUUCACUUGUGUGGACCAACGUUGGCAUAGAGAGUCGCUCGAACGGAAGUGACCACUUGUGUUGCACUCAUCGAAGUACUCCUUGAUGUGUUGCCAAUAGGUGUUCACCGUUUGGUCGCUUCCAACGCUUGCAUCUUGAGAGGUUUUCUUCCAAGCGGUGCAUAUCAACACAUCCUCCGCGGUGGUAUAAUUUCCACUUCUUCCCUUGACAACAAAGCCCUCAUCGUCCACAUCAAGAUUGUCAUCAUCAUAUUGGGUUUCAUAUUCUUGUGACGCAUACAUGUAAUCAUCAUUUGCCACAUUUGCCGCGUGCAUGAAAGCUUCAUCAUCAAAACUACAAUUGGACGCACAAACAAUCAAGAACACAUACAAUUUGAAACAACAAACGAGAGCACAACCGGAAAAUACCUUUGCGACAUUUCGUCGAACAUGUUGGAGGUGGUGGCCGUCGGCGUGGCCACAUCUUCCUCGACGGCCCACGGUGGCGGCGGGGGAGGUUGAGGAAUGGAUGUGUGGCUGCUGGAGGAGGCCGCCGGCCGCACAGGCUACGAGUCGUCGCCCCGAGUCGCCGCGGCCGCCUUGGAGACCUUCACCGGCCGCGUAGAACUGUCGGUCGGGUUGCGGCUGCGGUUGGCCGACCGUUUUCCGCCGCCUCAUCCCUUCGCCGGCUUCGCCGCCGGCGCGGUGGCCACCGGCCGGGGCGGUGCAAAUCCGGACCGACGGACGGGGACGACGGCAUGGCAGCGGUUGCGGGCGAGAUGGCAGCGGCGGCCACGUGGGUCAGCCCACCGGCUGCGGCGGCGGAGGAGAAGGCGGCGGGGUCAUCGCCGGAAGGCGGGGGGCGGUGGCGGCCGGGCGGGUUGCGGGCGGGCGGACGGGCGCGGGCGGGCGGGAAAGGAAAGGAACUGGCGGUUUGGCGUUCGCGGACAGCGGCUGGUUUUGGACCAGAUGCACCUCGUGAUGUAAAUUUGCAACGCGAGGUGUUGUAUUUUAGAUCACGAGGAGGCCGUGGUCCAAUUUUUUUUACAUAUGGACCGUCUGUUGGAGCAGCGUUUUUUGCCCCAGACGGUCCAAAAGUUAGGUAUUUUUACAUUUGGACCGUCUAUUGGAGACGCUCUAAAGAGGCCAAUUACAAUGAUCGACGCAAAGUCCAAUUGCAACCAAGAAGAUAAGCGACCAACUGCAACCUACUCCUUCCGCCCCAUAAUAUAAGAUGUUUUUCUGACACAACACUAUUGUCAGAAAACAUCUUACAUUAUGGAAAAGAGGGAGUAUAAGUUAAGCGAAUUAUUUGAAAGUUUUUUCUCAACUGUUUGCAAAUGAUUAUAUUUAUAUUGUGUUGGUAUUUGCCUUGACGAUGAUCAUUCCAUAGCUUUAUUUAUUGAUAAACAAGCCGUUUGUUGAGCAACUGAAUGUACUCUGAGAUAUUUUCUUAAUACUCAGGCCUUUCCUCAUCUCAUAAUUGCGACGAAAAACUAAUAACAGAGAAAUUAAGUAAACAAUUUGAAUGGUGUUUUCGGAGAAUUUCCUGUAAAUGAUUAUGUUCUUAUUGCAUUUGUAGUUACCUUGUAUAUUUACCAACGACGGAUUAUCAUUGCCCAUGGGCUUCGUUGGCCGGCCAGGACAAGCAGACGACAUCAUCGAUAGAAACACUAACCACACCCUGAUGCGGAGUAUCCUACAUACAUCUUUAUGUCGAGAGUCCAUUCGGCAAGUGACACGUUCGACAUCUGCUUCACAUACAUAAAGGUGAAUCAUCUUCUUUACACGUGUUCACUUGAUCCCUUUGAGGAUGGUAUUCCACUUGACACUCCUCUCGUGUGCACGCAUAGGUAUUGUCGGGACUUCACGGUUGACAAGGAGUGCAAGCAUCAAGGAACGACUACACCAUCCGCAAGGAAAGCAUGGAAGAGCAGACGGAAGAAAGAAGAAGACGACGGAGCGGCUGCUGAGCUGAACCCUGACAUCCGGAUGACCAUCCGAAUCAUUCGGGCAUUGAUACGUCUCCAACGUAUCUAUAAUUUUUUAUUGUUCCAUGUUGUUUUAUUAUCAAUCUUGGAUGUUUUAUAAUCAUUUUAUAGUCAUUUUAUAUCAUUUUUUGGUACUAACCUAUUGACAUAGUGCCAAGUGCCACUUGCUGUUUUUCCAUGUUUUUUACAUCGCAGGAAAUCAAUAUCAGAUGAAGUCCAAAUGCCACGAAACUCCACGAUAAUUUUUUAUGGGCCAGAAGGAAGGCAAUGGGCCCUAGUUGCACCUGGGGGGUGCCCCGAGGGGGGCACAACCCACCAGAGCGCGCCAGGAGGCCCAGGCGCGCCCUGGUGGGCUGUACCCACCUCGGGUGCCCCCCGGACCGCCUCUUUGCUCCAGAAACCCUAGAAGCAUCGACGAAAUAUUCAUCCAGCCGCCGUAGAGUCCAGAACCACCAGAUCCAAUCUAGACACCAUCACGGAGGGGUUCACCACUUCCAUUGGUGCCUCUCCGAUGAUGUGUGAGUAGUUCUUUGUAGACCUUCGGGUCCGUAGUUAGUAGCUAGAUGGCUUUCUCUCUCUCGUUGGAUUCUCAAUACAAUGGUCUCUUGGAGAUCCAUAUGAUGUAACUCUUUUGCGGUUUGUUUGUUGGGAUCCGAUGAACUUUGAGUUUAUGAUCAGUCAUAUCUUUUUAUAUCCAUGAAAGUUAUUUGAGUUUCUUUGAUCUCUUAUAUGCAUGAUCUCUUAUAGCCUCGUAUUUCUUCUCCGAUAUUUGGGUUUUGUUUGGCCAACUUGAUCUAUUUAUCUUGCAAUGGGAAGAGGUGCCCGGUAGUGGGUUCGAUGUUACGGUGCUCGAUCCCAGUGACAGAAGGGGAAAUGACACGUAUGUAUCGUUGCUACUAAGGAUAAAAAGACGAGAUCUAUAUCUACCACCAUAUAGAUAAACGGAUCUUGUCUACAUCACACUACUAGGGAAAAGCCUAUACACAGAGGUAUAGCAGUAGCGCUGGUUAAAAUAGGGCACUACUGCUACUUUGUAGCAGCGCGUUCCAGAAAAGCGCGCUAUAGCUACAACUAUAGCAGCAGCGCGUGUGCAGCAAAAAGCGCUACAACUAUAAAUCCCACCGUGUUGGCGGUAGGCUAGGAAUAGUAGUAGCGGUUCCGCGCAAAGUGCUCUACCACUAUGGUCGUUGUUGCGCGUUUCCUGCAUAGAGCGCUACUGCUAAGAAAGAAAAAAAAAAUGAAAAAAAUAGAAAAGUAAAUGAAAAUGAAAGAAGUAGGAAACAGAGAAAUAAAAAAAAGAAA
rnacentral:lncRNA from 1 species